UACGGGGGGGGGUAAGCGUUGUUCGGAAUUACUGGGCGUAAAGGGCUCGUAGGCGGCCAACUAAGUCGGAUGUGAAAUCCCCAGGCUCAACCUGGGAACUGCAUCCGAUACUGGAUGGCUUGAAUUCGGGAGAGGGAUGCAGAAUUCCAGGUGUAGCGGUGAAAUGCGUAGAUAUCGAGAGGAACACCUGCGGCGAAGGCGGGUUGCUGGGCUGAUACUGACGCUGAGGCGCGAAAGCCAGGGGAGCGAACGGG
rnacentral:rRNA from 1 species